CUCCGGCAGAGCUGCGAGCCGAGGUCGCCGGUUGGCCUCGUAAAUCAACCGGCACCAAAGCAAGUGCGAACAAGAACGAACUCGCACUCGCCGCCUAGUCUGACUAGGUAAGGCGACGUCGACCCGGAUUCGGCCCGAGAUCCGGAGUUCGGCGCCAACAAUCGGGCUCGGCGCCUAGGGAGAGCCAAUCGCCCGAAGCGCGACACUGAAGGAUGGCUGGCCCGUCAGUUGGUCGUUCGCGAACCGGCCGGCGGGCGAGAUCAAGCGCGAACUACGCUCGUAGACGCUCUGUCCGGUGCGACCGCGGACGCGGGUUCGAUUCCCGCCGCCUCCACUC
rnacentral:tmRNA from 1 species